UCAUUUGUUCUUCCUGUAAAUGUUCCCUCCUUUAUAAAAUCCCAAAAUGAAUAUUUCUAAAAUGUUGCUUUCUUCCUCUCUUUGUUAAGCUACAGAUGGAAUUGGCCAGUCACCAGAUCUUAGCUGUCAGAUGUUGUCAAAUUUGGGAGGAUUUCUAUGAAGCUCCUGUUAAAUAUACCAGUUCCAAAGCAACAACAGAAGACACCUAUCUCUCAGUAGGAACAAAGAGAGAAAUGAGGAGCUUGUGUCACAUUGGAAAUAAAGUGACCCUGGAUCUCACAGUGACCAGUGACAUUCUCUGGGCCAAUUGAUUUACAUUUGCAGCAUGUCAUUUCCCAGGGGAAGAACCACAGUGACUGGACCACCAUUGGAGAAGCAAAGAGUAUUUUGUUCCUGAAGUAGUAAGGGUUGAAAACAAAAGUAUUCCCCAACUAAGCACUGAGUAAGCACACAUGAGGUCUUAAUGUUUAUACUUAGCAAGAAAAAAACUUCAAGUAACUCACAAAGCUUUCAGACACACUUAAAAAUAUAAGCCAUGGAAAAGAAAAGACUGCCAUCCUGAACCUCUAACUCUUUGGAGAACCAAGUUGAAUCAUUUUCUCUGAAAUAUUGAGCAUGUUGCACCUGAACUCAACCUGUAUGCUAUACACAUAAUUAACCAUGAACAUGGAUAUGAUUUAAUGGUUAAUGAAACCCACAAAUAGAUCACACAUGUGACAGCAUUUUUUCCUCCCUUAAGUUCUUCGAAUCUUCAUUUAAAUGACAAAUGCCAUCUAAAUGCUCUUGAGCAGCAAAUAUCAUU